AAACCAACUGGGAUUACCUUAGUAACGGCGAGUGAAGCGGUAAAAGCUCAAAUUUGAAAUCUGGUACUUUCAGUGCCCGAGUUGUAAUUUGUAGAAUUUGUCUUUGAUUAGGUCCUUGUCUAUGUUCCUUGGAACAGGACGUCAUAGAGGGUGAGAAUCCCGUUUGGCGAGGAUACCUUUUCUCUGUAAGACUUUUUUCGAAGAGUCGAGUUGUUUGGGAAUGCAGCUCAAAGUGGGUGGUAAAUUCCAUCUAAAGCUAAAUAUUGGCGAGAGACCGAUAGCGAACAAGUACAGUGAUGGAAAGAUGAAAAGAACUUUGAAAAGAGAGUGAAAAAGUACGUGAAAUUGUUGAAAGGGAAGGGCAUUUGAUCAGACAUGGUGUUUUUUAAAUGUGCAAGUCUCUCGUGGACAUGUGCCUCUGGAAUUAACACUGGGCCAACAUCAGUUCUGGCGGCAGGAUAAAUCAUUAAGAAUGUAGCUACCUCGGUAGUGUUAUAGCUUUUUGGAAUACUGCC
rnacentral:rRNA from 1 species